GCCCUUCCUCCCGCCGUUGUGCAGGGCGCUGCAUUGUCUGUGUGCCUGUGUCCGUGCUGAAGUAGGGGUGUUUUGUUGGUGUUUUUUUUUUUCGGGGGGGGGCUUUGGGUGCCUUGGUGGCGGCACGGACAGCAUCGCGCUGGUGUCUUUCUUAGCCUUCUGUUCGUGCGUGCGUGUGUCUCUGCGUGCGCACGUAUGGCGCAGGCUCCAUCAUCUCCGUUGUCGCCGCGCCCGUCAGCGCUCCUUUUCUUGGUCACCGGAAUCCCAGCUGCCGGAAAGUCCACUUUUCUUGUCGCUGCGCAGCGCCACGUCCUCCAACGCGAUUCCAUCUCGGGAGAAGUGCCGAUCUUCGGUGGGCGCUGCCACGGUCGCAUAUGCUCUGUGCUGGAACUCGACAAGGUGCUCGCAGAUCUCGACGCGGCAACGGUGCACGAAAAAGACACAGCUGCCUCAGCAGGGGAGCGUAAGUUUAGCCCGCGACUUUGGAGGCAAGCCACGAGGCGGCUGCUGGAACUGACCCAGUCAGCGCUGCGCACGUGUAUUGAGGGCACCGUCAACGGCGACGCGACGGAGAACGCGGUCGUCCCCAUGAUCUUUGUGGAGGACAACAUGCACUACCGGAGCAUGCGAGAGCGCUAUUAUCAGAUGUGCCGCACCCUGGAACGAGAAGAGUAUUCUCUCCAGUCGCCGCACGAAGACCCGGCAGCCGCGGUGCAGUCACGGCAGCCCCUCAUUGUACUUUUCGAGCUCCGCUUCGCCACGCCGCUGGCCGUGUGCCUCGCACGCAAUGCACAACGUGGUAAUCCUCGAGAAGGGUCCGGCAAAGAGCAGGCGCGCGCAUCUGCGUGGGUGCCACCGCCGGUAAUCUGCUCUAUGGAUGCCUUGUUCGAUCACUGCUACGCGACCGCUGACCCUGUGGACCAUGCGGCGUGGGCGCCAUGCCACUGGAAUGGGUGGCAGUGGACUGCGACGACCCAGCCGUGGGGGCUGCUCGUGCAUGCCACGCAAGGUGGUGAGGCGGAUGAGAUUUGUCCAGCCGCAAUGUCAGAAACGGCAGCGUGUUUCUUUGACGUAGCGCUACAGCGGCCUGAGGCGUGGGACGCGUGCCAAAAGCAGUGCCAGAACAUCGCCCGCUCUCGGCUUCAGCGGCUACGCGACGACGAGCAGAUGGAUGAGGCCACGCGUCUCCGACGGACCGCCGAGACUGUCGAAUCUCACACGCAUCAGUUGGACCUGCAGCUUCGGGGCGUCGUGCACGCGUUCCUUCGCCAGCAGAAUCAGCAGAAAGCGUAUGGAACUGAUGGUGCGCCCACGCCGCAGCAAGCGGCCCUAUUUCGCAGAAGGAUUGUAGUCGCCAAGAAAGAGGCCGCACAGCAGUUCAAGGUGCAGCUUCGACAACUGAGCACCGCAAAACACGAACGGACAGACACGGACGCCAUUGACUUGCUCGGCAGUGGCAUCGAUGACUUUCAGGAGUCCGUCGUUCAACAGUUCCAGCAACAUCUGCUAGACCUCUGGCGAGAACUUGAGGGGUAAGUCCUCCCUGCGUCACGGUAGGAUGCGUCCACGCUCGUGCGACACAGGAAGGAGUUGUCUUUUGCGUGUCACCGCUUCAUCAGUGGACAUAUGCGUGUGCCACUCCUUUUGUAUGUGUAUAUGCCGUUGGCGCUGCCGCCUCUCGCGUUGUUCUCUCGCGGAUGCAUAGCGCAUAGCACUGCUACUG
rnacentral:misc_RNA from 1 species